AGAGCGGCACGGGCUGGCGCGGGCGGCCUCAGCCGAGGGGGCUUGAGCGGCGCGGCGGGCGGCUCCGGGGGUCGGGGUCCUUCAGGCGCGCCCCGGACAGCUCGCGGCUCCCCCGGGAGCGGGACGCCGGGCGAGCGCGCAGAGCGGGCGAGAGCGCGAGGGGAGAGGGGUCGCCCGAGGGAGGCGCGAGCUCCCGCGGCCCCCGGCGCUCUGCAGUCCCUUCAGGAGGCGGGCGGAGGCGCCUGCGUGCGGGGGUCUCGGCGCGGGCCGGCUCCGAGGAGGCCGUUCGCUGUCCGAGGCCUCCUCUCUCAAUGUCUGGAGUUACUUGGAACCUGAGUGCUUAGAAGUUGCUUCUUUUGGUGCUCUGGGAACCAUGUGAUGCCAGGGAUCAAGCUCGGGCUUCCUGCAUAGAAGACCUUCACUCCGCCUUUGAAUUACAACCCAGUUACAAUAGCCAAGAACUGGAAACAACCUAAAUGUCCAUCAGUGGAAGAGUGAACUUGGACAUGUACCCGAUGAAAUCCUGCAUGGCAUGGGCCAUGGAGGAGGAAGAUGCCCGGUGAAAUAGACAUCCUGUGGUGUUGUUCAAUGCUGGUAUAUAGAGAACACAAUGAACUAAAUUAAAAAAAAAACACACAUUUUGGACUGUGAGUACAGUUCGUGGGUACAUGGAAUGAAGAGGUCAGUUGCUGACUGAGCGAUCAGGUGGCUUUAUUAUUCAGCUGCAAGGAUGCGUGAUAUAUUCUGGGGACAAGAUCCUUGUCAGAUAUGUGAUUUUUCACUUUUUAAUAGUACCUUUGGGAGAAUACAAUUGUCACUUCAACAAUAUGACACGUUUUUUCUUCCCUUUUAUGAUUAAAGUUAUUUGUGUAAUAAUGUUAUUGUAGUAUCUUAAGAAAUCUUUGCCUUCCCUCAAGUUCCAAAGAUGCUGCUCUUACUUUCUCCUAAGUUUUAUAGUUCUAGCUUGUUUUGUUUAGGUUUACGGUCCAUCCAAAUUAAUACUUAUCUGUGAUCUAAGGGAAACGUGAAUUUUUGUAAAUAUGGAUGGCAUUACU